rnacentral:lncRNA from 1 species
AUAUUUAUAAAGUUAGUAGAAAAGAAAAAAAAAAGAAAUAAGGAAGACAAUUCAUGUUCUUAUUGUAUUUCUUCUAAAAAAUGAAAGAAAUUGAUAAAAAUAAAAAGCAAAGAGAAGAUGAAAUGUCUGGAAAGAAGUUGAUGGAAAGUGAAUGAAAUAUUUUUUAGUUCAAUUUCUACAAUCCCUUUCAAUUCUCUUAUGUCACUUUAAAUUGUAGCUUAGUACCCCUUAG